UACGGGGGGGGUAAGCGUUGUUCGGAAUUACUGGGCGUAAAGGGCUCGUGGGCGGCCAACUAAGUCGGACGUGAAAUCCCUCGGCUCAACCGAGGAACGUCGAUCGAUACUGCUGUUCUUGAGGAUUGCAGAGGAGACUGGAAUUCCCGGUGUAGCGGUGAAAUGUGUAGAGAUCGGGAGGAACACCGGUGGCGAAGGCGGGUCUCUGGGCAAUUCCUGACGCUGAGGCGCGAAAGCGUGGGGAGCAAACGGG
rnacentral:rRNA from 1 species